UUGAACUGAAGAGUUUGAUCAUGGCUCAGAUUGAACGCUGGCGGCAGGCCUAACACAUGCAAGUCGAGCGGCAGCACGGGUACUUGUACCUGGU
rnacentral:rRNA from 1 species